rnacentral:rRNA from 1 species
UACAGAGGUCCCAAGCGUUGUUCGGAUUCACUGGGCGUAAAGGGUGCGUAGGCGGUUUGAUAAGUCUGAUGUGAAAUCCCGCAGCUUAACUGCGGAACUGCAUUGGAUACUGUUUGACUAGAGGAAUGGAGGGGAGACUGGAAUACUUGGUGUAGCAGUGAAAUGCGUAGAUAUCAAGUGGAACACCAGUGGCGAAGGCGGCUCACUGGCCCGGUACUGACGCUGAGGUGCGAAAGCGUGGGGAGCAAACAGG